AAGCUCGUAGUUGAAUUUCGGGACUAUUGCGCCGGUCGUGCCUUCGGUAUGUACUGGUGUUACUGGUUCCUACCUUCUGACGAACCGUCAUGUCAUUAAUUUGGUGUGGCGGGGAAUCAGGACUGUUACUUUGAAAAAAUUAGAGUGUUUAAAGCAGGCUCGCGCUUGAAUACAUUAGCAUGGAAUAAUGAAAUAGGACGUUCGAUCCUAUUUUGUUGGUUUCUAGGAUUGACGUAAUGAUUAAUAGGGAUAGUUGGGGGCAUUAGUAUUCAAUUGUCAGAGGUGAAAUUCUUGGAUUUAUUGAAGACUAACUACUGCGAAAGCAUUUGCCAAGGAUGUUUUCAUUAAUCAAGAACGAAAGUUAGGGGAUCGAAGACGAUCAGAUACCAUCGUAGUCUUAACCAUAAACUAUGCCGACUAGGGAUCGGAUGAUGUUAUUUUUAAUGACUCAUUCGGCGCCUUACGGGAAACCAAAGUGUUUGGGUUCCGGGGGGAGUAUGGUCGCAAGGCUGAAACUUAAAGGAAUUGACGGAAGGGCACCACCAGGGGUGGGGCCUGCGGCUUAAUUUGACUCAACACGGGGAAA
rnacentral:rRNA from 1 species